AAUAAACGCUGGCGGCGUGCUUAACACAUGCAAGUCGAGCGCGAAAGGUCUUCGGACUGAGUAAAGCGGCGAACGGGUGAGUAACGCGUAGGAAUCUGCCUUUCAGUGAAGAAUACCCUCGAGAAAUCGAGAUUAAUACUGCAUACGUCUAGAAAUAGAGAAAGAUGGCCUCUUUGCUGUCGCUGAAAGAUGAGCCUGCGUACUAUUAGCUAGUUGGUGGGGUAAUGGCCUACCAAGGCGAUGAUGGUUAGCCGGCCUGAGAGGGUGUACGGCCACA
rnacentral:rRNA from 1 species